rnacentral:rRNA from 1 species
GAGGCGAACCGGGGGAACUGAAACAUCUAAGUACCCCGAGGAAAAGAAAUCAACCGAGAUUCCGAAAGUAGCGGCGAGCGAAAUUGGACUAGCCCUUAAGCUUUACACGCGUUAGACGAACGGUCUGGAAAGUCCGACGAUACAGGGUGAUAGUCCCGUAGUUGACGACGUGUGUUCAGUGAAAUCGAGUAGGGCGGGACACGUGAUAUCCUGUCUGAAUAUGGGGGGACCA